UACAGAGGUCUCGAGCGUUAGGCGGAAUCACUGGGCUUAAAGCGUGUGUAGGCGGAUCGUUAAGUGCCUUGUGAAAUCCCACGGCUCAACCGUGAACUGCUUGGCAUACUGGCGGUCUUGAGCAACCUAGGGGCGAGCGGAACAAAUGGUGGAGCGGUGAAAUGCGUAGAUAUCAUUUGGAACGCCAAUGGUGAAAACAGCUCGCUGGGGGUUUGCUGACGCUGAGACACGAAAGCCAGGGGAGCAAACGGG
rnacentral:rRNA from 1 species